CCGGGACCGUAUCAAUGAUGCUUUCCGCCUGGAUGACAACAGCCUGGAGUUUCUGGGGAUUCAGCCAACACUGGGACCGCCUUACCAGCCACCUGUCACCAUAUGGCUGAUUGUGUUUGGGGUCGUGAUGGGAUUGGUGGUGAUUGGCAUCGUCCUGCUCAUCUUCUCCGGGAUCAGAAAUCGAAGGAAGAACGAUCAAGCCAGAAGUGAAGAAAAUCCUUAUGCCUCUGUGGACUUGAGUAAAGGAGAAAAUAAUCCAGGAUUCCAAAAUGCUGAUGAUGUUCAGACUUCAUUUUAGGAAAAUCUGAUUUCCUCUUGAGGUGAUUUUAUUGCAUGCACAUGUUAAUUUUAUGGUACAGACAAUAUGAGAUUAUAAAGAUGUCAUUAACUAUCAAAACGAUGGCUCUGUUCAGGAAAAGUUGUCCCAAGAAGACAUGCCUGAGGAGAGGGCAUCUUCACUGGCUUUCAGUAUUUAUUUCUGCCUUGGGAUUUCACUUCUGUUCAUGUUUGAGGGGAAUAGAGAAAAUGUAUCUUCGGCCUCACCAGCUGUUCAGGGGUAAUGGAAGUGGACAUGUCUGUUGCAUGGCUGGAGUAGAAAAAGAGGGAUAUAUGUGGCGGGAGCAAGUGGGGCCUUGUAUGGAAUCCAGAUGGAUUGCUUUUGAGGACAGUGUUCGUGAACUGGCGGAACUGCAGGGAGCAAGAAUGGCAUACGCCGUUCACUUCCCUUUAAUUCAAGUGUAAAGGAUGGCACACGCUUUAACUUUAAGUUAAUCUAAGUACUAUAGUGAUUUGCCCACAGUGGUGAUUGGACUAGAUCAUGCCUUCUUCAGGAUGAGAGGUCUAAAGAAGAGAGAAGAAUCCAGAGAGCUGUUCACAGAUGGUGUCUUUUCACUUCCAUUCAUGCUUGAUCAUUAUCUCCCUAACAACGUAAGACUAGCCCCAGGAGCCUCCUGGAACCACCGCCCCCAGCACUCCUGAUGGAAACUCACUUCUAUUGCUCUCUGUGGAGCGACUAGAAACGUCAACUUCAUGCCUUCCUUGGAAGUGGGUACCCAAUCUCUUAAGUCUUGUAUUCCCCCAUAAUGUCUGAGUAGUGCUGAGCACAAACUACACACUCAAUAAAUACUAGAUUCACA